ensembl:lncRNA
AAACGAAGACAGGUCCGUUUUUUUCAUUUUCUGAGACCGGAAGUGGUCAUCAGCAAGUGUGGAGCCAAACGACAACAAGAUUCUCAGAGGGCGGAGCCAGAGAGCAGUGAUUGGUCAGACCAUAGCUAGCGUAUCUAGUCUUCUAUGCAUAUCUAUGGUCGGCACAUCUGGUAGCAUCUCUGGCUGCUGUUGACCUUGUUUUUGGAGUAAAACACGGUGGAAGCUGAAUUAGUGAGGAUGACUCCUGCUCCUGUCAUCUCUAAGCUCCUCACACAUCUUUACCUGCACAUGAGGAAAAUCACUCCUGUAGAAUGCAGAUGUUCAGAGGGAGAUGAUGCCACAUCUGGUCCAGCCGAUGGAAGGUCUUGAAGUUCUCUGACUGGCCUGGACUGAAGAUGGUCGUCUCACUGGAUUUAAGGUUCAGAUGCUCAGUAACAAACUCCACCAAUGAGCCAACAGGGAAGCUUUAGGUUUAUUAAAUGUUGCUAUGAAGGUAUCGCUGUUUUUCUUUGUGAAUGCAAUGUGCUCCAACUGAAACUUGAAUUAGAACUUAGAAGUAAAUCCUUCCAUCUGAAAGGAUUUAGUUGCAUUAAUGACCUCAUAACAUUCUAAUUUUUAUUCCAGUCUUGGUUGAAAAUAGAAUCUCUGUAUUGAUUCAGGUAAAAACUGAACUUCACAGCAUGUUGGAGCAAAACAACCAGAUGAAAACUGUGAUGGUGUUGGAUUGUCAGACCGUAAUGUUGCAGCUCAAAGCAGCUUUUCUAUCUCAGUUCAUUCUGACAUUCAGCUAUGAAUCAACACAGCAGAUGGUGAUCCAUGCUGUGGAAGUCUCACAUCUCCUGAUUUAAUGGAGCUGCUUUGCACUUUUUACACUGUUUAUUCACCAACACUUUAUUUAAUAAAAGUCCCAUCUAGUUUUUAUGAGGAAUGUGAUGUUUUAAUUUCUCUGUUAAUAACUGCAGUCUAAUGGAACAGCUGGAGUUGUAACAUCUGUCCUGAUAUUGAUCAUGAAGUAUUGAUCAGAAUACUUAUGGUCAGCAGUCAUCCCUGAAGUUUUACAUUAAAAUCUUUACUUGUGUUGUGAACUUUGGUAAGAAGCAGAAACUUUAGCGUUGCCAUGGAUACAUGAGUGUUAAAUUCUGUCCAUGUUUCCAUUUUGGGAAAUUCAGUCCAGCAGAUGAGUUUGUUUUUACUGCCAGCAACCAUUCAGUCUGAGAUAUUAAGAAUAAAUAAAUGUGCAUAAUGUGGAAAUGAACAGAUUCUAUUUUUAUUUAUACCUACAGCUGCUGGUAAAGUUCCAGAAUGUGGUGGAAUUUAGUCUCACAAUCACAGACAAUAAAUAUUAUCUGAAAGUCGGGUUAUUGUUUUAGCAGCACAUGUUGGACAUAUUCCAGUUAAGACUCUGGAAUAUCAGGAUUUAUGUACAUUUACCUCAAUAAUAUGAAUGUUCAGGUUAAGAUUGUACAGUGAUAUUUAUUAUGUAAGUUUAGCUGAUUAAAGUUUAUGACUCUGCACUAAAAUAUUAUGUAUUUAAAUUGACAUCAUUAUUAUAAUAUUUAGGGUCAGACCCUACAGUAUUGAGAUUAAGAAAUCAAAUAUUCUAUAAAAUGUAAAUACACUGAACUCAUUUGGAUAUAUUUAAGUGAGACUCUACAAUAUUAUUUGACACAAAUCUAUCUAAAUCAAAACUUUAAUCAUUUUUACUCCAAACAUUUACUGGACUGAUUUAAACAUUAAAAUCACUCCUUUCUAAUCCUCUGCUGUACGUUCAAACCUGAGGCCUUAAAUAGAGAAACACACAAGUAUCUGAUUGAAGGAACUUCUGCAGAGUCCUGGUUCCAGAACAUGAUGAUAGAAUUAUAGACAAACUUUAACAAAAGCUGCCUGAGAGUUUACAGCUUUUUAUGUUAGAUUUCUUCAAUAAUUUAAUGAGAGUUAUCAGCAAAAGUCAAGUGUUCAUUUGAUGAACUUCAUUUCCUAAAACAUCCAGAAUUGGAGCUCAUAUCUUUGGCAGCUGUAAAGUUUCUGCUCCUUCAAAGUUCACAACACAAUGAAUGAAUUCCUAAAACACUCUCAAUGCUGGAGAGCGUUUGUGAUGCUGAAGCAGUGACCAGUUUUUCAGUUUCUUCUCUGGAGAUGCACAAUGAGGGACGUCUGCAGAGACUGAGAAAGAGUCUCACCACAUCCUGACAUGAGGAAAAAGACUUUAUUGAAGACUACAAUGAGAAAAACUAUCAGACAGCAGACGACUGCAUUCAAGUCUGUAGCUGCUGAAUUCAUGGAUGAAUCAUCUGGAACUAGAGAAGAAGACCAUCAAACAUCCAUGUCAGCUGAUGGAGGUCCAAGAGUCUCACCAAGCAAACAACCUACAGAGUGAAGACCUCAAAUCUGAUUGGACGGCCUCCUAUUCAGCCACAUGUGUGAACAAAUGCCUCUAAGCUGAUUUGUUUUCUAAAAUAAAUCUAGUUUGAGU